GAUGAACGCUGGCGGCGUGCCUAACACAUGCAAGUCGAACGGAAAGGCCCCAGCUUUCCGCGGUACUCGAGUGGCGAACGGGUGAGUAACACGCGGGUGAUCCCUCCCUCUCUCUGGGAUAAGCCUGGGAAACACGGUCUAUUAUCGCAUAGGACCGUGUUAUCGUGAGUGUGGUGGAAUGUUAUUCGGUGCAGGAUGGGCCCGCGGCCUAUGCGCUUGUUGGUUGGGUAAUGGCUUACCAAGGCGGCGACCGGUAGCCGGCCUGGGAGGGUGCACGGCCACAAUGGGACUGAGGCACGGCGCAGACGGGAACGGGAGGCAGCGGGGGAGAAUAUUGCGCAAUAAGCGCAAGCCUGAUACAACGGCGCCGGGUGGGGAAUGACGGCCUUCGGGUUAUAAACCCCUUUCGACAGGGACGUAGCUUUUGUGACGGUACCUGAAUAGAAAGCACCGGCUAACUACGUG
rnacentral:rRNA from 1 species